AUCCAGCUGACGUGUCUCAAAUAGGACGAAACGCGCGUCCUGGAU
rnacentral:hammerhead_ribozyme from 1 species